GAUGAACGCUGGCGGCGUGCCUAAUACAUGCAAGUCGAGCGAACAGACGCGGAUUUUGCUCCUCUGUCGUUAGCGGCGGACGUGUGAGUAACACGUGUAUAACCUACCUAUAAUACUGGUAUAACUUCGGAAAACCGGCUCUAAUACCGUAUAAUAUAUUGAUCCGCAUGGUUCGAUAGUGAAAUACGGUUGUGCUGUCUCUUUUAGAUGGAUCCGGGCCGCAUUAGCUGGUUGGUAAGUUAACGGCCUACCAAGGCAACGAUGCGUAGCCGAACUGAGAGGGUGGUAGGCCACACUGGAAGGGGAACAGCGACAAGACGACUAAGGGAGGGAGCAGUAGGGAAUCUUCCGCAAUGGGCGAAAGCAUGACGGAGCGAGGGCGCGUGAGUGAUGAAGGUCUUCGGAUCGUAAAAAUCUGUUAUUAGGGAAGAACAAAUGUGUAAGUAAAUAAGCACGUAUUGACGGUAACGAAUAAGAAAGCAACGGCUAACUACGUG
rnacentral:rRNA from 1 species